rnacentral:rRNA from 1 species
UACGUAGGGUGCGAGCGUUGUCCGGAAUUAUUGGGCGCAAAGAGCUUGUAGGCGGUUUGUCGCGUCUGCUGUGAAAAUCCGGGGGCUCAACCCCGGACUUGCAGUGGGUACGGGGCAGACUAGAGUGUGGUAGGGGAGGACUGGAAUUCCUGGUGUAGCUGUGAAAUGCGCAGAUAUCAGGAGGAACACCGAUGGCGAAGGCAGGUCUCUGGGCCACUACUGACGCUGAGGUGCGAAAGCGUGGGUAGCAAACAGGAUUAGA